ACACCUCAACUCCUCAUGGUUUGCCAUGAUGAGCUUGGACCUUGGGGGUAUUGCUGGCCCUGUGGUUGGCUCCUCUCAAAUGGAUCAGCUUGCCAGUGUUUGGUGGCAUCACGGGUGUGAUAAAUAUCUACGCUUGUGGUUUCCACCAUGCAACCUUCAGUGAUGAGGGUGCGCUGGAGCUCACAAAUGUCCCUCCUCAGUGAGGACAGCUUUUUGAU
rnacentral:misc_RNA from 1 species